rnacentral:rRNA from 1 species
GACGAACGCUGGCGGCGUGCCUAAUACAUGCAAGUUGAGCGCUGAAGGUUGGUACUUGUACCAACUGGAUGAGCAGCGAACGGGUGAGUAACGCGUGGGGAAUCUGCCUUUGAGCGGGGGACAACAUUUGGAAACGAAUGCUAAUACCGCAUAAAAACUUUAAACACAAGUUUUAAGUUUGAAAGAUGCAAUUGCAUCACUCAAAGAUGAUCCCGCGUUGUAUUAGCUAGUUGGUGAGGUAAAGGCUCACCAAGGCGAUGAUACAUAGCCGACCUGAGAGGGUGAUCGGCCACAUUGGGACUGAGACACGGCCCAAACUCCUACGGGAGGCAGCAGGAGGGAAUCUUCGGCAAUGGACGAAAGUCUGACCGAGCAACGCCGCGUGAGUGAAGAAGGUUUUCGGAUCGUAAAACUCUGUUGGUAGAGAAGAACGUUGGUGGGAGUGGAAAGCUCAUCAAGUGACGGUAACUACCCAGAAAGGGACGGCUAACUACGUG